rnacentral:rRNA from 1 species
AUUGAACGCUGGCGGCAUGCCUUACACAUGCAAGUCGAACGGUAACAGGUCUUCGGAUGCUGACGAGUGGCGAACGGGUGAGUAAUACAUCGGAACGUGCCCGAGAGUGGGGGAUAACGAGGCGAAAGCUUUGCUAAUACCGCAUAAGAUCUCAGGAUGAAAGCAGGGGACCGCAAGGCCUUGCGCUCACGGAGCGGCCGAGGGCAGAUUAGGUAGUUGGUGGGAUAAAAGCUUACCAAGCCGACGGUCUGUAGCUGGUCUGAGAGGACGACCAGCCACACUGGGACUGAGACACGGCCCAGACUCCUACGGGAGGCAGCAGUGGGGAAUUUUGGACAAUGGGCGCAAGCCUGAUCCAGCCAUGCCGCGUGCAGGAUGAAGGCCUUCGGGUUGUAAACUGCUUUUGUACGGAACGAAAAGACUCUGGUUAAUACCUGGGGUCCAUGACGGUACCGUAAGAAUAAGCACCGGCUAACUACGUGCCAGCCGCCGCCGUAAGAC